AACAAACGCUGGCGGCGUGCAUAACACAUGCAAGUCUAACGGGAAAGUCGGCUUCGGCUGGCAAGUACCGUGGCGAACGGGUGAGUAACACGUGGGCAAUCUAACCUCGAGUUUGGGAUAACCUUGCGAAAGCGGGGCUAAUACCGAAUAAGACCACGCUUGGUUCGCCAAGUGCGGUAAAAGGCGGCCUCUUCCUUAAAGCUGUCACUCGAGGAUGAGCCCGCGGCCUAUUGGCUAGGUGGUGGGGUAAUGGCCUCCCAAGGGGACGAUGGGUAGCCGGCCUGAGAGGGUGUACGGCCACACUGGCACUGAGAUACGGGCCAGACUCCUACGGGAGGCAGCAGUGGGGAAUUUUGCGCAAUGGGGGAAACCCUGACGCAGCAACGCCGCGUGAGUGAUGAAGGCCUUCGGGUCGUAAAGCUCUUUUAGUGGGGAAGAAUCCCACCCGGGCUAAUACCUCGGGUGUCUGACGGUACCCACAGAAAAAGUUCCGGCUAACUACGUGCCAGCCGCCGCGGUAAUAC
rnacentral:rRNA from 1 species